rnacentral:rRNA from 1 species
AGCGAACGCUGGCGGCAGGCCUAACACAUGCAAGUCGAACGAACUCUUCGGAGUUAGUGGCGGACGGGUGAGUAACACGUGGGAACGUGCCUUUAGGUUCGGAAUAACUCAGGGAAACUUGUGCUAAUACCGAAUGUGCCCUUCGGGGGAAAGGUUUAUCGCCUUUAGAGCGGCCCGCGUCUGAUUAGCUAGUUGGGGAGGUAAAGGCUCACCAAGGCGACGAUCAGUAGCUGGUCUGAGAGGAUGAUCAGCCACAUUGGGACUGAGACACGGCCCAAACUCCUACGGGAGGCAGCAGUGGGGAAUCUUGCGCAAUGGGCGAAAGCCUGACGCAGCCAUGCCGCGUGAAUGAUGAAGGUCUUAGGAUUGUAAAAUUCUUUCACCGGGGACGAUAAUGACGGUACCCGGAGAAGAAGCCCCGGCUAACUUCGUG